GAGUUUGAUCAUGGCUCAGGAUGAACGCUGGCGGUAUGCCUUAUACAUGCAAGUCGUACGAGAGUUUUUAACUCAAGUGGCGGACGGGUGAGUAACACGUAAGAAUGUACCUUUAGGAGGGGGACAACAACUGGAAACGGUUGCUAAUACCCCAUAUGCUUUCGAGUGAAAUGGAUUUCCGCCUAAAGAGCAGCUUGCGGCUGAUUAGCUUGUUGGUAGGGUAAUGGCCUACCAAGGCGACGAUCAGUAUCUGGUUUGAGAGGACGAUCAGACACACUGGAACUGAGACACGGUCCAGACUCCUACGGGAGGCAGCAGUAGGGAAUUUUCCGCAAUGGGCGAAAGCCUGACGGAGCAAUACCGCGUGAGGGAUGACUGCCUAUGGGUUGUAAACCUCUUUUUUCAGGGAGGAAUAA
rnacentral:rRNA from 1 species